ensembl:lncRNA LINC01013 long intergenic non-protein coding RNA 1013
GACUCUCUUUUCGGACUCAGCCCACCUGCACCCAGGUGAAAUAAACAGCUUUACUGCUCUCACACAAAGCCUGUUUGGUGGUCUCUUCACACGGACGCGCAUGAAAUUUGGUGCCAUGACUCGGAUCGGGGGACCUCCCUUGGGAGAUCAAUCCCCUGUCUUCCUGUUCUUUGCUCCGUGAGAAAGAUCCACCUACAACCUCAGGUCCUCAGACCGACCAGCCCAAGGAACAUCUCACCAAUUUUAAAUCAGGGCAAAGGAUCUAAAUAGACAUUUCUCAAAAGAAGACAUACAGAUAUGGGGGCAAGUGGGGGAAUGCAAUAUAGCUGGCUAGACAUAGCCCAAUAGACACAGCCAGGUGGAACAGCUCCCACAGAGGGACCCAGAUAACUGGCAUGCUUCUAACAGAUCCUCAGAGGCAAGGCACUGAGAGUGGAUGGAGGGAAGACACAGAAGCUGGGCUGGAGGGGAAGAAACCUGGGAACACUGCCUGGGGAUACUGCUCACUGGGACUGAUUUUUGGACCACAACAGCUCCAGGAGAAUGGGUGACUUGAACUGGCAAGGAGCAACCUGCUCUCUCCACGGGCCUCUGGAACCCCGGCAAGAGAAGAUCCCUUGAUCACCAUGGACACUCAAGUUGGCAAGAAGAGCUCCUUAGAGAAGUCGUGGGAGGGCAAGCAAGCUGAUGUGGAGCCAGGACGAUUUGAUGUGGGAGCACCUGCAGUGGAGCACAGCCAGGGAGAGCCAUCUCCCCAGGCCUGACUUGCUCCCAUAGGAGACUUUAGCCCUAGGGGAACUGUCCAUCCUGAUCUCUGCAGGGUGGUCUUGUCCAUCAGACAGGGCUGAUUCGACCUGAGCACCCCUUGGUCUGCUGGCCUUUCUGGGGUCCCAGCCUGGCCAGACCUGCUUGCAGGGCAGUCUUGGGUGCCCUGGAGGCCACGCCAUAGCUUCUGUGCUGGCAGAUAGUAUCUGACUGGUGGAGAGCUCCAGCAAGGCUGCCCCUAGGCCACACACCAGCCCAUCCACCCCCUCCCCACACUGCAGCUUCCCUAGGCCCAGGAAACUCCUCACGUGUCUUUGCUGGCACAAGUCUGCACAGGUAGGUUUUGCCUUCCUUGCCCUGCCAGUGCAUGGGAGUGUAGUCUGCCCCCCUGCCCCGUCUGGCUGUCAUUGAAGACAGAGCCUUGGUGGGCACAGAGCAAGCCAGCUCCCCCGCAACGCCCACCUCAACACCUGGCCCUUGUGCUAACACUGUGCAGAGAACAGUGGACCCUGCUCGCACCCUGAGUGAUCACUCCUGCUUGUGGGGCACAGAGAAGGUGUCCAGACCUGCUCACGCCAGUGCCCUGCCCCCAAGCCAACACCACAUCCAACAGGAGCCUGCACCCAGUCUUCAGCAUAGAGGUGAAAGAUCUCUACGAGGAGAACUAUGAAACACUGCUCAAAAUAAUCAAAUAUGAUACAAGCAAAUGGAAGAGCAUGCAAUGCUCAUGGAUAGGAAGAAUCAAUAUCAUAAAAAUGGCCAUACUGCCCAAAGCAAUUUAUAGAUUCAAUGCUAUUCCUAUUAAACUACCAUUGAUAUUCUUCACAAAACUAGAGAAAACUAUUUUAAAGUUCAUAUGGAACCAAAAAAGAGCCUGAAUAGCCAAGGAAAUCCUAAGCAAAAAGAACAAAGCUGGAAGCAUCAUGCUACCCAACUUCAAACUAUACUACAGGACUACAGUAACCAAAACAGCGUGGUACUGGUACAAAAACAGACACAUAGACCAAUGAAACAGAAUAGAGAACCCAGAAAUGGUUCUCUAUUUCACACACCUACAACUAUCUGAUCUUCGACAAACCUGAUAAAAACAAGCAAUAGGGAAAUGAUUCUGUAUUCAUUAAAUGAUGCUGGAAUAACUGGCUAGCCAUAUGCUGAAGAUUAAAACUGGACCCCUUCCUUAUACUGUACACAAAAAUCAACUCAAAAUGGAUGAAAGACUUAAAUGUAAAACCCAAAACUAUAACAACAAUAGAAGACAACCUAGGCAAUACCAUCUUGGAUAUAGGAACAGGCAAAAAUUUCAUGACAAAGACACCAAAAGCAAUUGAAACAAAAGCAAAAAUUGAAAAGUGGGUUCUAAAUAAAACUAAAGAGCUCCUGCACAGCAAAGAAAAUACAAACAGAGUGAACAGACAACCUACAGAAUGACAGUAUCUGCAAACUAUACAUCCAACAAAGAUCUAAUAUUCAGCAUCUAUAAGAAACUUAAACAAAUUUCCAAAAACAACCCCAUUAAAAAGUGGGCAAAGCAUAUGAACAGACACUUUUCAAAAGAAGACAUACAUGCAGCCAACAAACAUGAAAAAGGCUCAACACCACCAAUCAUUAGAGAAAUGCAAAUCAAAACCACAAUGAGAUACCAUCUCACACUAGUCAGAAUGGCUGAUGGCUGUUAUUAAAAAGUCAAAAAAUAACAGAUGCUGGCAAGGUUGUGGAGAAAAGGCAAUGCUUAUGCACUGUUGGUGGGAGUAUAAAUUAGUUCAAUCAUUGUGGUUGACAGUGUGGUGAUUCCUCAAAGAUCUGAAAACAGAAAUAUAAUUCUACCUAGCAAUGCUACUACUGGGUAUAUACCCAAAGAAAAAUAAAUUGUUCAAUUAUAAAGACA